rnacentral:rRNA from 1 species
GGAAUUGCUUUGGAAACUGGAUGGCUUGAGUGUAGGAGAGGUUAGUGGAAUUCCCGGUGUAGCGGUGAAAUGCGUAGAGAUCGGGAGGAACACCAGUGGGCGAAGGCGACUAACUGGACUAUGACUGACGCUGAGGCGCGAAAGUGUGGGGAGCAAACAGGAUUAGAUACCUGGUAGUCCACACUGUAAACGAUGAAUGCUAGGUGUAGGGGGUAUCGACCCUUCUGUGCCGGAGUAAACACAAUAAGCAUUCCGCCUGGGGAGUACGGCCGCAAGGUUGAAACUCAAAGAAAUUGACGGGGGCCCGCACAAGCAGCGGAGCAUGUGGUUUAAUUCGAAGCAACGCGAAGAACCUUACCAGGUCUUGACAUCCAGGUAAACUUGCAGAGAUGCAAGGUGUGCUUGCACAAUCUGAGACAGGUGGUGCAUGGUUGUCGUCAGCUCGUGUCGUGAGAUGUUGGGUUAAGUCCCGCAACGAGCGCAACCCUUGUGAUUAGUUACUAACGGGUAAAGCCGAGGACUCUAAUAAGACUGCCGGGGACAACUCGGAGGAAGGUGGGGACGACGUCAAAUCAUCAUGCCCCUUAUGACCUGGGUCACGCAACAGCUACAACCACCAUUACGCCAAGAAGUGAAGGUGACAGGAAGGAAUAAUCUAAAAAAGCAUCUAACGCUUUGGGAGCUGUGCCACAAGCUGG